UGGGGAAUAUUGGACAAUGGGCGAAAGCCUGAUCCAGCCAUGCCGCGUGUGUGAAGAAGGUCUUCGGAUUGUAAAGCACUUUAAGUUGGGAGGAAGGGCCAUUACCUAAUACGUGAUGGUUUUGACGUUACCGACAGAAUAAGCACCGGCUAACUCUGUGCCAGCAGCCGCGGUAAUACAGAGGGUGCAAGCGUUAAUCGGAAUUACUGGGCGUAAAGCGCGCGUAGGUGGUUUGUUAAGUUGGAUGUGAAAUCCCCGGGCUCAACCUGGGAACUGCAUUCAAAACUGACUGACUAGAGUAUGGUAGAGGGUGGUGGAAUUUCCUGUGUAGCGGUGAAAUGCGUAGAUAUAGGAAGGAACACCAGUGGCGAAGGCGGCCAUCUGGGAAGAUACUGACGCUGAGACGCGAAAGCGUGGGGAGCAAACAGGAUUAGAUACCCCCGUAGUCCCUGAGCGGGCUGGCAAGGCGCAU
rnacentral:rRNA from 1 species